AAGCCCAUUUCAAAUUUCAUUAAAACUUUGAAAUAUAUGUUGUUACAAAAGUAGUAUGACAGUUACCUAACAUUAGUAACUGCUCCCAUCAGUUCUAGUAACUUGCAAUACAAAAAUAAUACAAAUUCAAAAGCCGAUUGAUUCAGCUAUACAUCUAUCAAAUUCAAAUCUUACCAACUAUGAAAUCAAGUUAUAUAUCAACUUGUUCCAUUUACAAAAAGAUUACAAAAUGAACUAAACAAAAGAAAUGCUUAUGAUCCUUCCCAAAUGCUGGUCUGAUGUGUUGGUCAGCAUCAUGGUCGACUAUUGCAUUACAGUCCAUGCUCAAUAGUAAGAGUUGUGUAAUUAUGGAGAUACGACUUUUCGCAGUACUCAGCAGCUGAAUAAAGCUAAGGCCUUAAGUUCUUGAGCUCCCAUAAAAUCAAAGGGUCAACUAAUCAAUUAGUAUAACAAUGAAAUGCUGGGAAUUGCAAGAAGAAAAUGGAAACUCCUACUAUCCAAAGUUUCAGGAAAACAUAAAUCAAACAAAUACUUGUUAAAAAAAAAGAAGAAGCUAAAUGCAACCACAAUACACUUCAAAGAGUUCAAACAAAUUUCAUGCUCUCCAAGCCAAUGGAAGAAAUAAGCCACGUUGCUUAAUAAAACCUCCAUGUUGUUUAUAACAAUUUUACUUCAAAAUAGAAGUGUUCAAUAGGUAUAACAGACAAGAAGACAUAGUCCAGACUAAGGAGAAAAUAUAUCAGCACUAAAGAUGAAAUAAAAGACAUCCCUAAAAUGAAUAAUAAUAGGAGAAAGGAAAAUGAAAGAAAAUCUACAGUUCAUGCUUUGAAGAAAAAAACUAUCUUAACCAAGUUUGAAGGAAAUAAGUAUAAUAGUGCAUGGCUAUUUAAUUUAUUUUAGAGCUCCAAAUCACCUUUGCCCCUAAGAAAUUUCUCAUGAUUCCAAUAAAAAAAAAUACCCCAAAGAGAAAGACGAAAAAUAUCCAUAUAACAGAUCAUCUAAAAAAUCAAUCUGAGACAAACUACUACAAAAACAAUAAUUAUUAUGAAGGAACAAAAGGGGCAAACCUGGAAGUAGGGAAGGAAGGAAAGUUGUGAAAAGGGUUAAAAGCGAGGAGAUUUCUCACAUCAAGUUGAAAAUGGUUCUGGUUCUCCGUCUCCAUCUUCAGCUGGCGUUGGUAUGUAGUGUUUGCUGCUAAGCAAGGCUAUUAGUUCGGCUUCUUAAAACCUAAUACAGAAACACUCACAAAAAUUCCAAGAAUGAAAAUCCCAAGAAUGAAAAUCCAAGUUCAUGGUUCCAUCAGAUCUGACUACCACAAAGCUUGGCGCUUUCCUCACUGAACCAAACUACUAUUCAAAAACAAUUUUUAAAAAAAAAAAAUCUGAAAUGAAAUGAAAAAUGGAAAAAGAACAAUGAACCGGAGAAGGAUCUACGAUGAGAAAAAAGGAAAUUUUUGGAAUCGAAAGAUGGCAGCCCUUGGAUUUGCACUUGCAACGGCGAAUGUAAAAAAGAAAUUGAAAUUCAUUCAAAACAAAAUGGAAAUAAAUUAAACAAGGAAGAGUGAAAUUUAUACGAGAGAAGGAGCAAGAGAACUAGGCAGAGAAUUUUUAAAAGUGAAAUUAGGGGUUUCAGGCGGGAAAUUUUGGGAUAAAACGGUG
rnacentral:lncRNA from 1 species